rnacentral:rRNA from 1 species
CAGCCGCCGCGGUAAUACGAAGGGGGCUAGCGUUGUUCGGAUUUACUGGGCGUAAAGGGUGCGUAGGCGGAUUGUUAAGUCAGGGGUGAAAUCCCGAGGCUCAACCUCGGAACUGCCUUUGAUACUGGCGAUCUUGAGUCCGGGAGAGGUGAGUGGAACUGCGAGUGUAGAGGUGAAAUUCGUAGAUAUUCGCAAGAACACCGGUGGCGAAGGCGGCUCACUGGCCCGGAACUGACGCUGAGGCACGAAAGCGUGGGGAGCAAACAGGAUUAGAUACCCCUGUAGUCCCUGUCUCUUAUAC